GUCGAGUUGGCUUAGGGAUACGUUCGUUGGGUAGGGGAGCGUUCUGUAAGCCUGUGAAGGUGUGUCGUGAGGCAUGCUGGAGGUAUCAGAAGUGCGAAUGCUGACAUAAGUAACGAUAAAGCGGGUGAAAAGCCCGCUCGCCGGAAGACCAAGGGUUCCUGUCCAACGUUAAUCGGGGCAGGGUGAGUCGACCCCUAAGGCGAGGCCGAAAGGCGUAGUCGAUGGGAAACGGGUUAAUAUUCCCGUACUUGGUGUUACUGCGAAGGGGGGACGGAGAAGGCUAUGUUGGCCGGGCGACGGUUGUCCCGGUUUAAGCGUGUAGGUGUGUGUUCCAGGUAAAUCCGGUUCACUUUAACACUGAGGCGUGAUGACGAGGCACUACGGUGCUGAAGCAACAAAUGCCCUGCUUCCAGGAAAAGCCUCUAAGCAUCAGGUAACAUCAAAUCGUACCCCAAACCGACACAGGUGGUCAGGUAGAGAAUACCAAGGCGCUUGAGAGAACUCGGGUGAAGGAACUAGGCAAAAUGGUGCCGUAACUUCGG
rnacentral:rRNA from 1 species